rnacentral:lncRNA from 10 species
AAGUGCGAGCCGGGCGCCCCGAGAGCCAGGUGAGAGGCCCGGGCGGCUGGGCUGGGGCCCUUCCUCUCCAGGCCGUCUAGGUCCCUGAAGAAACGCUGCCCGAGCACCUACUGUGAGCUGGCCGCGCUGGGGCCACGGGAGGUCGGAAGGGAGAAGACAAACAGCGGGACCAUGACAGUGGGGGCGGGGGUGUGCUCAGGGGCUGGGUCCCAGAUCCCAGGCAGGAGCCAGUGACCUUUAGUGAAUGAAUGAAUGAAUGAAUGAAUGGUGCAUUUCCCCAGGGGUCUCAGGACGCAGCACAACACAGGCGUUUCAUGCCAGGUGGGAAGGGGAUGACCCCCUUCACUGGCCCCACCAGGCCUGGCCUGCCCCCUCCCGCAGCACCAGGAAGCUCUGCUGCAGGUGGGCAGCCACCUGACACCGUGGCUGGCCACGAUCUAGGGAAAGCGAUAGAACCUUCCCUCUGUAAAGUGUGAGUGUUUCUUAUUAUUGCACCAUGAGAUGUCCCCCUGGUGCCCAAGGGCCCGGGGACCCUGAACUGUUUAAGACAAAAUCCAGGCCCUGCCUUGAGAAGCCCACGGCUUAGAAUGGUAGACACGCAGGACAUCAGUGUGAUCAGAACUACAACGGGAGUAGGGACAGGCAGCGGGACGGGAGUAGGGGAAAAGAGCUCCUCGCCCACGUUGAGGGAGUCAGGAAACCUUUCAGAGUCUUGAGGAAAAA